rfam:Oryza nivara chromosome 11, whole genome shotgun sequence.
AAUAAGUGAUGUUUUGCAUUGUUCACGUCCAAUGUUUAACCGUUCGUCUUAUUUGAAAAAAAAUUAUGAUUAGAAUUUUUAUUGUUAUUAGAUGAUAAAAUAUGAAUAAUACUUUGUGUGACUAAUUUUUUAUAUUUUUUCCAUAGAAUUUUCAAAUAAUACGGAUGGUCAAACGUUGGACACGGAUAUCUACGACUGCACUUAUU